rnacentral:rRNA from 1 species
CCUACGGGAGGCAGCAGUGGGGAAUAUUGCGCAAUGGGCGAAAGCCUGACGCAGCGACGCCGCGUGAGGGAUGAAGGUCUUCGGAUCGUAAACCUCUGUCAGCAGGGAAGAACGGUCACUGUGCUAAUCAGCAGUGAAUUGACGGUACCUGCAAAGGAAGCACCGGCUAACUCCGUGCCAGCAGCCGCGGUAAUACGGAGGGUGCGAGCGUUAAUCGGAAUUACUGGGCGUAAAGCGCUCGUAGGCGGUAUGUCAAGUCAAGGGUGAAAUCCCCGCGCUCAACGUGUGAACUGCCUUUGAAACUGGCAAACUGGAGUGUGUGAGAGGAUAGUGGAAUGCCAGGUGUAGGAGUGAAAUGCGUAGAUAUCUGGAGGAACAUCAGUGGCGAAGGCGACUAUCUGGCACAUAACUGACGCUGAGGAGCGAAAGCGUGGGUAGCAAACAGGAUUAGAUACCCCAGUAGUC